rnacentral:rRNA from 1 species
GACGAACGCUGGCGGCGCGCUUAACACAUGCAAGUCGAACGGAAAGGCCUGCUUUCCCUUGUGGAUUGCGGGUACUCGAGUGGCGAGCGGGUGAGUAACACGUGAGUGAUCUGCCCCCAACUUGGGUAUAAGCCUGGGAAACUGGGUCUAAUUCCCGAUAGGACUGCAGGGUGGUGCCUGUGGUGGAAAACGAUUUUCUAGUGGUUGGGGAUGAGCUCGCGGCCUAUCAGCUUGUUGGUGGGGUAAUGGCCCACCAAGGCGGCGAGGGGUAGCCGGCCUGGGGGGGGGGCGGGCCAAGUGGGGACUGGGAUAGGGCCAGGACGCCAAGGGGGGGCAGCGGUGGGGAAUAUUGCCCAAGGGGGGGAAGCCUGAUGCAGGGACGCGGGGUGGGGGAUGACGGCCUUGGGGUUGUAAACUCCUUUCGACGGGGAGGAAGCCACCUGGUUGGAAGGGUGGUGACGGUAGUGGUAGAAAAAGCCCCGGCUAACUACUU